GUCUAUUUGAUGAUAUAAAUAGUCUGGCCUGCCCACUGAUUAAUAAUAAUUGAAGGGCCGCGGUAUUCUAACCGUGCAAAGGUAGCAUAAUCAUUAGGUUUUUAAUUGGAAUCUUGUAUGAAUGGUUAGACAAAAGGAAUUCUGUCUUUAUAUUAAAUUUUGAAUUUAACUUUUAAGUGAAAAGGCUUAAAUACUUUAAAGGGACGAUAAGACCCUAUAAAACUUUACAUUAUGAUUUUAUUUAAUUAAAUUUUUAAAAUAAAGAUUUUAUUUAAUUAUAUGUUAUGUUGGGGAGACAAAAGUAAAAUAAAUUUUAACUGCUUUUUAUUAAAACAAUUAUUUAUGAAUAAUUAAAAGAUCCUUAAUAAAGAUUUUGAGAUUAAGUUACUUUAGGGAUAACAGCGUUAUUUUUUUUAAGAGUUCUUAUCGAAAAAAGAGUUUGCGACCUCGAUGUUGAAUUAAAAUAUCUUUAUAGUGCAGAAGCUAUAGUAGAAGGUCUGUUCGACCUUUAAAUUUUUACAUGAUUUGAGUUCAAACCGGCGUGAGCCAGGUUGGUUUCUAUCUUUUAAAUUUAUAUAAGUUAUUUUAGUACGAAAGGA
rnacentral:rRNA from 1 species